GUCGGAUAUGGGGACAUGCGACCCGUCGGGGUCUGGGGCAAGCUGGUGGGCUCGCUGUGCGCCAUCGCCGGCGUGCUCACCAUCGCCCUACCAGUGCCCGUCAUAGUCUCCAAC
rfam:Stegodyphus mimosarum contig21516, whole genome shotgun sequence.